UACGUAGGGGGCGAGCGUUGUCCGGAUUUAUUGGGCGUAAAGAGCUCGUAGGUGGUUCGAUAAGUCGGGUGUGAAAACUCUGGGCUUAACCCAGAGACGCCACCCGAUACUGUUGCGACUUGAGUCUGGUAGGGGAGUGUGGAAUUCCCGGUGUAGCGGUGAAAUGCGCAGAUAUCGGGAGGAACACCGGUGGCGAAGGCGGGUCUCUGGGCAGUAACUGACGCUGAGGAGCGAAAGCGUGGGGAGCGAACAGG
rnacentral:rRNA from 1 species